UUCAUUUCUUUCACUCACCAAACGAGAAGAUCAUUAAGAUAUGGCAGAGGAAAACAGAGUGGUGCUUUACGGAAUGUGGGCUAGCCCUUUUGCCAAAAGGAUCGAACUCGCCCUCAAAAUCAAAGCCAUCCCUUUUGAAUAUGUCGAAGAAGAUCUCCAGAACAAAAGCUCAGACCUUCUCAAAUUCAAUCCUGUUUACAAGAAAGUUCCUGUUCUCGUCCACAAUGGAAGACCCAUUUGCGAAUCAUCUCUAAUUUUUGAGUACAUUGAGGAAGUUUGGAACAACAAUGGCCCUUCCCUUCUACCUCAAGAUCCCUACAAACGAGCCCAGGUUCGGUUCUGGGCUGAUUUCGUUCAGAAACAGUUGUUUGAGGGUCUAUUUUUAUUAAUGAAGACAGAAGGAGAAGCACAAGAGAAAGCCAUUAAUGAAGUGAAAGAGAAGUUGAAAGUUCUUGAAGAACAGGGGUUGAAGAGUUUGCUGGCAGAGGGAAGUACUCCAUUUGUGAAUGGAGAUGAACUUGGAUAUUUGGACAUAGUGAUGUUGACAGUGCUUGGACUGUACAAGAUUCAUGAAGAGUUUUUUGGAGUCAAAAUUGUGGAAGAAGAGAAGAUCCCAAUUGUGUUUUCAUGGUUGAACAGAUUGAUAGAGCAUCCUAUUGCAAAGGAGGUAGCUCCUCCCAAAGAAAAGGUUUUGGGAUUUCUUCACUUCAUCAGGCAAAAGUUGCUCAAUUCCCAGGAUGCUGCUUAACGCUACAACUCCAUGUUUGCCUUCAUAUGAAUAAUACAACAAAAAUAAACCUAAAUUUUGUCUUUAAUGUUAUUGAAUGUGUAUUUCACUCUAUGGGCUUCAGUAAUAAG
rnacentral:misc_RNA from 1 species